UCCAAACUUCAUCAGAAAAUAACAUGCUCAUUCAAUACAGUAAUUAUGCGCCGCUUCCCCUAAUAAACUCUUCCUAAACCCUAUCUCUAUUCCCAAACCAAUUUCUCUUUUCAUGUACCUAAUAAUGUCAUCAUAAAUUUUUUCCCCCAAUUCAUUUUGUAAAAUGGAAUCGUUUCUACAAUUUUCCAGGUUGUUGCAAUGGCUGCCGUAAGAAAUGAUUUUGUUAAGGAAAUCAAUCCCUCUAAGGAAUCUUGGGACAUUGUUGUUCAGGUGAUUCGCUUAUGGUUUGUACCAGAUAUGAAUUUGAAAGAAUUUUUUUUUGCGAUGAAGAUGGUUCUAAUGGAUGAGAAGGGUGGUUGACUCAAGAUCCAAUUGAUACAUUGUUAUCAUCCUGCAAAUGUUAUGAAACGACGAAACAAACAACCUAGCAGUUGUGUACCCCUGUUUUGACUGCGAGUGCGACUUUUGAGUACUGGUCAUUGUGUUGUUUGUAUUGGUGUUGUGUUGAUGUGAUUCGUGAGUUGCUGUCGUGUUGCCGUUGUUAUUGGUAAUUUUUUAGUGCACAUACUGGAAUGGUGAUUCUACUGGUGAAAAGAUGAUAUUUAUAAUUAUGUUCCAUACUGCAUUUGUGCGGUCAAAUAUAAUGAUGCAGAUCCUUGAUGAAGAUGAUAUUUUGUUGUUGGGAUGCUGAGGAUCAAUAUCUUUAAAAAUUCAAACCAGAGGGAUUAUAUACAACUGAUUACAAUUCAACAACAAGUACAAGCAUUAUUGAUGGAGCAUAUUAAUAUUAGCCAAAUGAUCCUUCUAAAUCCAUCCUUUGCGAGAUUUUCAGGGAGGGUAGGUAAAAACUUAUAAGGGAAGAAAUGGAAGGGGCUUUUUGUUUUCAGAUGUAAUGAUUGUUAGAGUGGGCCAAUAGAAGAGAAGGAACUGAUAACAGGUCUCUAUAUAUACUUGAGAAGUCUAAAGUAUUUAGGGAAAAUUUGCAGUUGCUGAAGUCACAGAUUGAGGAUUUGGUUUAAACGCAGUAACUGUGUCGUUAUUGAUUUUGGCCAUUUGAUAUUAAAUUAACGAGAAGAUGAUUUAAUGAUGAUUUAGAAAAGAGGUGAGAGGAGUUGACUGAUCUCAAAUCGAUGGCUAAGAUCGACUAAUGCAUGUAACUGUUUGCUUAAAUCCUAUUUUAUUCUAUGUAUAGGUUAAUAUAUUCUACAUGUUAAAUUUCAAUU